ACUUAAGUAGUUUAUAUAAAAUAUUGAUUUGUGGUGUCAGUGAAAUAGAUAUCUAUCUUAGGUC
rnacentral:tRNA from 2 species